rnacentral:tRNA from 1 species
AUUUAAGUAGUUUAAUUAAAAACAUUAAUUUGUGGAGUUAAGAAUAUAAAACAAUAAUUUUAUCUUAGAUA